rnacentral:ncRNA from 24 species
GCCGGUGAGAAUCCGGCACAGUCCCGCUACGGUGACCAGCCAGGCGGCCGCGGGGCCGCCGCUGGAAGUCCGG